AUGGGAACCACGUUAUGCAAUAAUCUCUGGAAUUUGCAAGGGUCUGUGUUAUCUUCACGAGGAAUUUUUUUUAUUCAUAUGGAUCUUAAACCACCAAAUAUAUUACUUGAUGAUCAUAUGGUUCCAAAAAUUACUGAUUUUGGGUUGUCAAGAUCAAAUGAAAUGUCGCAUACUACGGGUCAACGUUUUGGAACACCAGGAUAUCUCGCUCCAGAAUACGAGAAAGAUGGCAAAACUUCAUUCAAGUGUGACAUAUACAGUUUGGGUGUCAUAAUCACAGAAUUGGUACUUCGAAGGUGGAGACACAGGUGGAAUAAACCACCGACCUUACUAGAAUACCGGCAAGUAACUAGAUGCAUUGAAAUAUCGGUACGCUGCAGGCAACAAGAAUCAGGACAUAGACCUUCCAUAUUGGAGAUAAUAAACAUUCUGGGUGAAUCUGAAAGUAUGGAUGGGCACACUGGCCAGGAAAGCGCCUAUCUGGACGAUGACAUGCUUCGUAUUGAGCCGCUCGAGCUUAAGCUUAACGAGGAGAUGUCAUGGUCAGUUAAGCUAUCCAACAAGACAAAGGCCUCUUUUGCCUUCAAAAUUGAAAGACCAAGCCAGCAGUACACCAUAUGGCCAGACAAAGGCAUUGUGACACCAGGAUGCAACGAGUAUCUUGUUCAGAUAACAUUGCAACCACAGCAGAGGGCACCGCAAGUUACCCAGAAUGCUGACAAGAUCAUCUUCCAGAGCACGAAAGUGCCCGAGGGUCUUAGAGAUGAGGAUAUCACUGAAAAAAUAUUCCAUGAAGAGGCCGGCAAAGUGGUUGAUGAGGUGGAUUUGAUGAUUGUAUAUGUGCCUACGAAGCCCAAAGAGAACUGCAAGAGUAGAGAAGGCACCAACAUGCUAGUUGAGGAAGUUCCCGAGGAGGAAAGAAUUGUGGGAAGUCUCGAGGAUUCCACCAAAGACUUGAUUGCGAAAAAAAAUGAUGUAUGUCAGAAGAUUAAGAAUGCUGAGCGAGAAGGCAAGAAAUCAACAAAUGAGGUCGACAGAUGGCUGGAAAAAGUGGCCAAAAUCAUUGAUGUUAUGCAUGUAAUCUCGGUGGACUGUAAGUUGAAGAAGGAUGUUACUAUCCUGGCAUGUGAGAAGCUUCGCGAGGUUCAAGAAUGUCUCAGUAGUUGCCCCAGUACUGUUGCAAUUGAGUCAAUGCCACCUCCUGUCCAAGAGAUGCCUGGUCCAUCUAUGUCAGCUGAGAACCGUAACCUUCAAGAGGCUCUCCACUUCAUUAAGGAUGAACCCACAGUUGGAAUGAUUGGAAUAUGGGGUCCAGGUGCUAACAACAAGAUUAAGAAAAGUUUGUGGCCAAAUGAAGGUCAAGAAAGAGUUAAAAGUCGCAUAUAUGCAGGAGCAUGA
rnacentral:rRNA from 1 species